rnacentral:rRNA from 1 species
UCCACGCCCUAAACGAUGAACACUAGUCGUCGGGAUGCAAGUCAUUUCGGUGAUGCAGUUAACACAUUAAACAUUCCGCCUGGGGAGUACGGUCGCAAGAUUAAAACUCAAAGGAAUAGACGGGGACCCGCACAAGUGGUGGAGCAUGUGGUUUAAUUCGAAGAUACGCGAAGAACCUUACCUAGCCUUGACAUUGAUAGAACACAGUAGAGAUACAGUGGUGCCUUUUCGGG